GGGUUGUGAGGUUAAGCGACUAAGCGUACACGGUGGAUGCCCUGGCAGUCAGAGGCGAUGAAGGGCGUGCUAAUCUGCGAUAAGCGCCGGUAAGGUGAUAUGAACCGUUAUAACCGGCGAUACCCGAAUGGGGAAACCCAGUGUGACUCGUCACACUAUCAUUAACUGAAUCCAUAGGUUAAUGAGGCGAACCGGGGGAACUGAAACAUCUAAGUACCCCGAGGAAAAGAAAUCAACCGAGAUUCCCCCAGUAGCGGCGAGCGAACGGGGAGGAGCCCAGAGCCUGAAUCAGCAUGUGUGUUAGUGGAAGCGUCUGGAAAGGCGCGCGAUACAGGGUGACAGCCCCGUACACAAAAGCGCAUGUGCUGUGAGCUCGAUGAGUAGGGCGGGACACGUGGUAUCCUGUCUGAAUAUGGGGGGACCAUCCUCCAAGGCUAAAUACUCCUGACUGACCGAUAGUGAACCAGUACCGUGAGGGAAAGGCGAAAAGAACCCCGGCGAGGGGAGUGAAAAAGAACCUGAAACCGUGUACGUACAAGCAGUGGGAGCACCCUUUUGGGUGUGACUGCGUACCUUUUGUAUAAUGGGUCAGCGACUUAUAUUCUGUAGCAAGGUUAACCGAAUAGGGGAGCCGGAGGGAAACCGAGUCUUAAUUGGGCGUUAAGUUGCAGGGUAUAGACCCGAAACCCGGUGAUCUAGCCAUGGGCAGGUUGAAGGUUGGGUAACACUAACUGGAGGACCGAACCGACUAAUGUUGAAAAAUUAGCGGAUGACCUGUGGCUGGGGGUGAAAGGCCAAUCAAACCGGGAGAUAGCUGGUUCUCCCCGAAAGCUAUUUAGGUAGCGCCUCGUGAAUUCAUCUCCGGGGGUAGAGCACUGUUUCGGCUAGGGGGCCAUCCCGGCUUACCAACCCGAUGCAAACUGCGAAUACCGGAGAAUGUUAUCACGGGAGACACACGGCGGGUGCUAACGUCCGUCGUGAAGAGGGAAACAACCCAGACCGCCAGCUAAGGUCCCAAAGUCAUGGUUAAGUGGGAAACGAUGUGGGAAGGCCCAGACAGCCAGGAUGUUGGCUUAGAAGCAGCCAUCAUUUAAAGAAAGCGUAAUAGCUCACUGGUCGAGUCGGCCUGCGCGGAAGAUGUAACGGGGCUAAACCAUGCACCGAAGCUGCGGCAGCGACACUCAGGUGUUGUUGGGUAGGGGAGCGUUCUGUAAGCCUGCGAAGGUGGCCUGUGAGGGUUGCUGGAGGUAUCAGAAGUGCGAAUGCUGACAUAAGUAACGAUAAAGCGGGUGAAAAGCCCGCUCGCCGGAAGACCAAGGGUUCCUGUCCAACGUUAAUCGGGGCAGGGUGAGUCGACCCCUAAGGCGAGGCCGAAAGGCGUAGUCGAUGGGAAACGGGUUAAUAUUCCCGUACUUGGUGUUACUGCGAAGGGGGGACGGAGAAGGCUAUGUUGGCCGGGCGACGGUUGUCCCGGUUUAAGCGUGUAGGCUGGUUUUCCAGGCAAAUCCGGAAAAUCAAGGCUGAGGCGUGACGACGAGGCACUACGGUGCUGAAGCAACAAAUGCCCUGCUUCCAGGAAAAGCCUCUAAGCAUCAGGUAACACGAAAUCGUACCCCAAACCGACACAGGUGGUCAGGUAGAGAAUACCAAGGCGCUUGAGAGAACUCGGGUGAAGGAACUAGGCAAAAUGGUGCCGUAACUUCGGGAGAAGGCACGCUGACAUGUAGGUGAAGUGAUUUACUCAUGGAGCUGAAGUCAGUCGAAGAUACCAGCUGGCUGCAACUGUUUAUUAAAAACACAGCACUGUGCAAACACGAAAGUGGACGUAUACGGUGUGACGCCUGCCCGGUGCCGGAAGGUUAAUUGAUGGGGUCAGCGCAAGCGAAGCUCCUGAUCGAAGCCCCGGUAAACGGCGGCCGUAACUAUAACGGUCCUAAGGUAGCGAAAUUCCUUGUCGGGUAAGUUCCGACCUGCACGAAUGGCGUAAUGAUGGCCAGGCUGUCUCCACCCGAGACUCAGUGAAAUUGAACUCGCUGUGAAGAUGCAGUGUACCCGCGGCAAGACGGAAAGACCCCGUGAACCUUUACUAUAGCUUGACACUGAACAUUGAGCCUUGAUGUGUAGGAUAGGUGGGAGGCUUUGAAGUGUGGACGCCAGUCUGCAUGGAGCCGGCCUUGAAAUACCACCCUUUAAUGUUUGAUGUUCUAACGUGGACCCGUAAUCCGGGUUGCGGACAGUGUCUGGUGGGUAGUUUGACUGGGGCGGUCUCCUCCUAAAGAGUAACGGAGGAGCACGAAGGUUGGCUAAUCCUGGUCGGACAUCAGGAGGUUAGUGCAAUGGCAUAAGCCAGCUUGACUGCGAGCGUGACGGCGCGAGCAGGUGCGAAAGCAGGUCAUAGUGAUCCGGUGGUUCUGAAUGGAAGGGCCAUCGCUCAACGGAUAAAAGGUACUCCGGGGAUAACAGGCUGAUACCGCCCAAGAGUUCAUAUCGACGGCGGUGUUUGGCACCUCGAUGUCGGCUCAUCACAUCCUGGGGCUGAAGUAGGUCCCAAGGGUAUGGCUGUUCGCCAUUUAAAGUGGUACGCGAGCUGGGUUUAGAACGUCGUGAGACAGUUCGGUCCCUAUCUGCCGUGGGCGCUGGAGAACUGAGGGGGGCUGCUCCUAGUACGAGAGGACCGGAGUGGACGCAUCACUGGUGUUCGGGUUGUCAUGCCAAUGGCACUGCCCGGUAGCUAAAUGCGGAAGAGAUAAGUGCUGAAAGCAUCUAAGCACGAAACUUGCCCCGAGAUGAGUUCUCCCUGAGACUUAGAGUCUCCUGAAGGAACGUUGAAGACGACGACGUUGAUAGGCCGGGUGUGUAAGCGCAGCGAUGCGUUGAGCUAACCGGUACUAAUGAACCGUGAGGCUUAACCUUACAACGCCGAAG
rnacentral:rRNA from 1 species